rnacentral:rRNA from 1 species
UACGUAGGGUUCAAGCGUUAUCCGGAAUCACUGGGCGUAAAGCGUGCGUAGGUGGCGUGUUAAGUGCAAUGCGAAAUCCUGUGGCUCAACCAUAUGGACUGUAUUGCAUACUGGCAUGCUAGAGGACGGCAGAGGCAAGUGGAAUUACCGGUGUAGCAGUGAAAUGCGUAGAGAUCGGUAGGAACACCAAAUGGCGAAGGCAGCUUGCUGGGCCGACCCUGACGCUAAGGCACGAAAGCGUGGGGAGCGAACAGG